rnacentral:rRNA from 1 species
AAUAUUGCACAAUGGGCGCAAGCCUGACGCAGCCAUGCCGCGUGUAUGAAGAAGGCUUUAGGGUUGUAAAGUACUUUCAGUCGUGAGGAAGGGUUAAGUGUUAAUAGCACUGGAAUUUGACGUUAGCGACAGAAGAAGCACCGGCUAACUCCGUGCCAGCAGCCGCGGUAAUACGGAGGGUGCGAGCGUUAAUCGGAAUUACUGGGCGUAAAGCGCAUGCAGGUGGUUUGUUAAGUCAGAUGUGAAAGCCCGGGGCUCAACCUGGGAAUUGCAUUUGAAACUGGAGGACUAGAGUACGGUAGAGGGGGGUAGAAUUUCAGGUGUAGCGGUGAAAUGCGUAGAGAUGGGAAGGAAUACCGGUGGCGAAGGCGGCCCCCUGGACAGAUACUGACACUCAGAUGCGAAAGCGUGGGGAGCAAACAGGAUUAGAUACCCUGGUAGUCCACGCCGUA